UGUGAGCGGGUCACUUCGCAGAGAUUCUUGUGGCUCAAGUUCGCGGGCACCUGGGAGCAAAGCCGCGUUGGUGCAUCAAGAAAUCCGGUUCCUGCCCCACAUCCCGCAGGGAAGUCCGAUUUUUUAAAAAGCCCAACGACAUUAUGCAAUGUAAGAUCUAAAAUAGGACCGUGUUUAUAGUGAUGUCUGUGAACGAAAGGGAGAGCAAGUAAACUUUGCCCCGGGCGAGGGUUGCUCUCCGGAAUGUGAAGUCCUCCUUUCCGCUGAGCCCACUUCCUCGCUUGUACGAUGGAGAACGUGUGACACCCCCUCCUCCCCCCCCCCCCCCCCGCCCUCCGCCCUACUGAAUGAAAGCGGGCCUCCAGGACUCUGCCCGUCGCUCAGGAAGGCUGCGCCCAUCUCCGCCCACUUGCCAGGGAGGUCCCUCUUGCUGGGCGGUCAGAAAACCAGGCUGAAAUCCCCACCGUCUUGGCCUGGCGCGUCGCCUCACCCUGAGCCUCUUUGCUCAUAUUUGAAGAUCGGCCAGCAGAACCCGCCUCUGGGGUUGUCCUGAGGAGUACAAGAGGGGAAAGAUGUAGGGGCCCCGGGCACAGUAGGUUCUCAACAGUGAUUGUCGAAUGGAUGAAAGAAGAAAUUUAUCUGGACAGAUUUGGCUUAUCACCAUCACGGUGAUGACAUCAUGGCCAGAUGCGCCCCCGAGGUCACUCCUGCUGACCCCCUCUAGGGUGGCUGGCGCUAAGAGGGAAGAGUAGGCCCUGGGCGAAGGUUCUUGUGCCCGGGGUUCCCAUCACGAAACGCUCCUUCACCAGGCGUUUCUCUCAGCUGCUCUGUGACUUCGUGUGGCUGCCAGCCACGUGCAGGGCAGUGAACACACGCACACUCAUCAAAUUGCUAAGAACUUUUCAGUCCCGAUUCUGGAGUGAAACAAUGCAAGUUGCCUGGAAUUUUCUUUCCUUAGGAAUCAUUCCUGGUAUUAUGGUUGAGGCCUCUCUGCCUCUCCUUCGUUCUUUUUAACCUGCUUUUCUUUUUUGAGGACAUCAUGCACAGCUGAAUCAGGCACCUCAGGCCUCCGUGAGUCAGAAUGCCUCUGCCUGGUCUUCCUGCUCCCCCUUCAGGCUGUCCUGUCCAUCGUCACCCCGCUAAUCCCUUCGAGGACCCCUUGAGUGAGUCCCCUCCCGAGGCAGCUGCAUGGAGCUGAGACACUGAGCUACAUCUGAGGGGAGGCUUCUGGAGCCCCCAAUUGCCUCGAAGGGGGUAAUGGCCCCUCCCUCAUAGGCUGUUGUCCUCCGCACCACAUCCACUCUCCCUCUCGUUGCCACUCUGUGAUUUGGGUCAGCAUUUUGGAUUUUUCCGGUGAGAUGCUAAACUGUGUAUAAUGAAUUCUACCCCGCUUACUCCACAAUCCCCAGGGCCUUCUGUAUAUUCUUAAUGACUAAUGACAGCUGCCUGACCGUCCCUGGUUUUAAAGAGGUCAGAGAGCUUUGGAGCUAUAAGGGCCCUUGAGAAAUUCUAGUCUGACCCCUCCCUGAGCUGCUGUAGUGGCUAAAGCUGGCAUAUGUUGAGCACAUUAUGAAUACUGGCCUCAUCCUGAGCACCGUAAAGGCUUAAUUAAUUUACUUUUCAUGAUCGUAUGUGGUGUUCAUAAUAACCCCUGUGAGGCUUGUAUCAUCCCUGUUUGAUAGAUGGGGAAACUGAGGCCCAAAUGAGGAAAAGGCUGACACCCAGAGUCACAAAGCUAGUGAAUGGCGGAACUAGGGAUUGAACAAAAGGAGAUUGUCAAGCCCGUGGUGUUGACAGGAACCUGUCCUUCCUCUGCUGUCUCUCACACUUCCUUCCAUCCUAGAGAAUAAAUUUAUUGAGUUCCUUGCAGUAAUAGGUCAUGUCAAUUGAGCCUCAUAUGCCAGGCAUGUGCUAAACACUUCACAUCCUCUCUCUUGUUGGCUGCAACGACUCUGAGAAGUGGAAACUGUCAUUACUUCAGUUCAAGAGGCAAGAAUCUGAGGUUCAUGGCAGCCCAAGGUCCUGCGACAUGUCAGCUGGAGUCAGAACGGACCUCAGGUCCUGUUCUUGGGACUGAUGUCUUUUUCCAUUUCCCGGUGCAAUCUUCCCAGUUUCAUUAAUAAGCUUUCCUUGAGUGCCUGCCCUAGGCCAGGCCCCGGGCUGGUGUUCUGGGCUACGAAGUGAGGGUGACAAGAGUCCCAGGUGACUCUGUCAGACUGUGGUCCCGUGGGAGUGCUGGCCAGUGUUGCACGCCUGUUUUCUGGAGGAGGCCGGAAUCUGGAUUUUGUGUGAAAUCCUCUGACUCUCAAAUGAUCUGCGCCUGCUUGUGGUGUGUGGUAGCAUCUUUGGCCUUUACCCACUCGACGCCAGAAUCAUCUCCCUCGUUGUGACAACCCCAAAUGCCUGCAGAUAUUGCCAAAUGUCCCCGGGCGGCCAAAAUCAUCCAUGGAUGAGGACCGCUGAUGUGUGAACUCAGUUCUGUUUUGUCAUCCCUGCUCCUGUGGGUGCUGCACGGAUCAGCCGAGUUAACUCCCAGAAGGGGUCUAGAACAGCGCCUGACAAGGAGUAGGAUUCACUAAACACCAGCCCGUACUAACAGCGACCGGGAUGCUGAUGAAUCCCCCUUAGGGUGAUCUGUAAUGCAGCCUCGGCGGCGUCUGUCUGACAGUUUCCUACGAUGCACUGCGUCUCAUCUGCCUCCUGGUGUGCUGCCUUCUCAUGGUAAUGACCUUUGCUGUUCGUUUCUCCGUUGUUCACGUGGGCCUGGCUGUUUAUGCCUCCACUGAUGCGAUGCCUGGCGGUGGCCAUCUCGAUAAAGGGCAGAGGAAAUGUGACGGACUCACCUCCUGUGCGCCUGGAAUGCAAAGUGGAGCCUUGAGCUGUGUGGCCUCAGAAGUGCACGGAGGCUGCGAUGUCCUGAUUCCAUCAGCAGGGGGCAGCAGCAGCUGGGAAAAUGCCUGUUGCAGGAGGGAGCCAAGGGCGGCCUUCGCGGUUGCGUGUAUUUAAAGUGGAGCAAAUCAUCCCUCCAGAGCCACCCGCGGCCUCCUUUAACAGACCGCGAUAGCUCAUCCGCGGGAGCCAAGAGCUGCUUUUCUAGAACAUUCUACAUUUAGCAUCUCUGUCCACUUCCAGAUGGCUCACUCUGAACCCAGGCCAAAUUCUGCUAGGGGCAAAGUUAAGCGGGUUCCUGUUGCUCCCUGUGCCUUUGCCUCUCUGCUGACUCCACCCUGCCCUGUCCACUUGUCUGAGUGACACAGUGCCUUUUCUAGGGCAUCCCGGCAGCUGCACCGCACGCUCAGGCCCCGUCUUACUGUGUUCUCCAUCUCCCCCUCACACAAACAGCAUUCCAGAGUCUCAUUCUCUCACAGCUACCCUGCAUUCACUCUGGACCCCCUCUACCGCAUUUCCUCCGUAGCAGCCAGGGGCAUCUUUCCAGUUUUGAAUGGACAGUCUCUUCUCUAGGUUUAAACUGUAAAAGGUGGAAGAGAACGGUACAGAGAACGUUCCCUCCCAGCCAUGACCACAAGCCUGCAGUUCCCAGCCCCGGGGGCCACCACUCUUAACAGUUUCCUACACCUUUCAGAUAUUUUAUGUGCCUGGCAGCAAAUGCACAUGAACAUUCUUAUCCUUCCCGCCUCCUUCCCCCUAUGAAUAGAAGCUGUCACACACACUCUCCUGCACUUUGCUUUUUCUAACAAUAUACUUUGGAGAGGCUCCAUGUCAGCACCCAAAAUGCCCCUCAUCCCCCCCCCCCCUUUUUUUUAUGCUUGUGCAGAGAGUGGUCUUUCUAAAUCUUGUAUUUCCACUGCAACUCCCUCAAAGACUUCCUUCUGUUUUUCCCAAACAUCUGUUAGGCCUGGUGAGCUGGCCUUGGCCUAGCUCCCUUUCUGUGUCUAGGGCAGGCUGGCUUAAUCCAUCCUCGAACUGGAUCUGCCUCUCCGGCCCCAGGGCCUUUGCCUCUGCUGUCCCCUCCUAACCUAGUUUGCCACCACUGUGCUUUUCUCGGCUCAACCAUUACUUAUGCCCCGUGUCCUGUACAUCCCGUAGCAGUGGUGAUUGUUGUUUGUAGCACAGUGAUUCAUCAUAGGCUCUCGACCAGAGUCCUGGAGUUCAAAUCUUGGGCACUUUGUAGCUGUGGGACCUUGGGCAGCUUGCCACACCUCUGCCAAGUGCCAUGGGAGCAAUAAUAGAUCCUUCAUCCUGGGCUUUGGUGUUGAGGAUUCAGGGACUGGACGAGUAAGCACAGAGCAAGCCUCCAUGCCCGUGGUGAUUGGAGCGCAUCUUUUUCACCUACUGAGUGCUAACCCCUGAGGGCAGGGACUAGGCAUCACAUCCCAGUGCCUGGUAUAAAGCAGGUAUUCUAUAAAGAUGGCCCAAAUCUACUGGGCAUACUUACAGAUUAGAAGGAGCCUCGGUACGAGCCAACAGUAGUUGGCCCUUGUGCCAGGCUCCUUCUUAGAUUGUUUUACCCCAUCCUCACAACAACCUUGACAGGUAGGUAACAUCACUAUCCCCAUUUCCCAGGUGAGGAAACUGAAGCCCAGAGAGGUUAAGUAACUUGCCAGAGGUCACACAGGAGCAGAGCUAGGAGUCAAGUCCAGGAAGACUUCUAGGAAACAAUAAACAUUUCAAAAAUAGCGUCUGAACUCAGAGAUGGUUAUGUCUAUGAGUGGGAGUGGGCUGUGCUCUGGGGCAUCUUUCCCAUCCAUCUCUGCCCGUUUCAGUUCUGGGCUGGUUUUGAGACCCAACUCAAAUAACCCCUCCUUGCUCCAGCCAGGCAGUUCAUGUCCUGAUCUACCUCUGGACCCUCAGAGAGGGGAGGCAGCCAGCCCCUUCACCUGGGUUUGGGUCCCCUGCUGUCCUGGCCGGGUCCCGCUCUGUAGUUCUCCUCUGUCUGCCCACUUGCUCAUACAAGCACAAGGCUCCCAGCUUUUGAGACACAUUCCCCACACCUCCCUUCAGAGCUUGGCUUGCCCAUCCCUCUUUCGUUCCCUCACCUACCACUUCUGCCACAGUCUGCUGCAAACAGUCUCCCCCCAUGUCAGAAGUCACCCACGGAGCAGUGGUCCGCUCCAGUGCUCGGCUGCAGGAAUGGGGGACACUGCACUAUGUGCCAGGCCCGCGGUGAGCACACCAGGCUCACGAUAGCCUUGCUAGCUUCAGCCUAUAGAGGAGCAAACAGACCCAGAGAGGUUUAGCAACAUGCCUGGGAUCGUAUGCUUGAAGUAGCGGAGCGGGAUUCAAACCCAGGAGCCACAGCUGCGGCCAUCAGCUCCACUGUUUCCAAUGGGGCGUGUCUGCCAAGUUGGCAUGGCCAACCUCUUCUCUCUUGGCUUUCUUCUCUCUUCCUUGCUCGGUGAGGCCCCUCUUCCUGGUUCUUCUCCUGAGCCCCUUGACUGGUCUUUCUCCAGUGCAUUGGAGGCUACUCUGCUCCCUGCUCCUGAAAUGGUAGACCCCCAAGGGCUUCAUGCUGUGCCUGCCUGCCCUGCGGGCGCUCCCUGGUGCCUGCACCUGGUGCCUGUCUGGUGACUUACUGCCCACAACAGGCCGCCCGACACAGGGGACUUGGGGAUAAUAACACCCCUGCUUGCUCUCUCAAAGAGUUACUGUGAGGGUCAAAAUGUUGUCCAGGAUAUGCUUUGCAAACUGUCAAGUGCUGGGCAAAGGUCAGGGCUGUCACCAUUACUGUGAUGGGCUCCAUGCAGAGGUUGGUUCCUGGUCCCCUGUUCUGAGUGUUCUUGGAGUGUGUCAUCAGCACCUGAACGUAGCACGCCUGAGUUGGAACCUGGCAGCCUGCGGACAGGCUGUGAAAGUACCUGAUAGCCAUUCGGAGUGAGAAGCUGAGAGGCCUUUUCCAAAUGGAACCACGGAGAUGAAGAGACUGGCCAAGCAUGUCACCAGGCUGGGCCGCCUCAGGGCCGUCUCCCGAGACUCUGGCGGCUGUAGAUGGGUGUGAUUGCUUGCAUGGCAGGCAUCCUCCACCCUAGAAAAGGGGGCUGGUGAGACAGAGCAGCACAGAGCCCCUCGACUUACCACCACCGUGGGCUGCAUGGCCAAGGGUGCGAGCACCUGGCUCUCGCAGUUGCCGGAGGGGCAGGAGGACAGACGCUGAAGUCAGCAGAUGUGGUUUAAGAGGCCGACUCUGAACAGAAGGAUGUCUCUGGUCUACCGAUGCCACCCUCCAUAUCCCCGAAGAGAGUUCAGACAUCCUGCUUGCAGGGAAAGAUUCUUAAAAUCUCACAAACUUCAUCUUUGCCGGGGCGGGGUGGGGGGGUGAAGAAAACCAGUUUUGGGAUAUGCAAAGUGAGAAGUAGAUCCCGGGAUGUGUGCAGUGGUCCCUCAGAGCGCUGGCACCUCACCUGUCUGGUGGCUCUAUCGUGUCCUCCCAGACUUCAGCUGUCGGCGUCUAGUUUCCGGAGGGGGAGACUGAGGCUCAGUUCAACGAGUUGAGGGGCAUGUCUGGUACAACGUGACUAAUAAGAAGGGAGCGUGGGAUUAGAAUUCCCAUCUCUUUUCUCCAAAUCCCGCUCCUCUACCUGCUGGCUGGCUGGCUUUGGGAGAGCUAAUGAGCUUGGCUGAGCCUCUGUUUUCCUAUCUGUAAAAUGGGACGAAUGACCGACUUCAGAGGGCUUAAAUGUGCCUUGAAUGAGGCAAUGCAGAUAAAACACGUGAUAUAGGGGUGCCUGGGUGGCUCAGACGGUUAAGCUUCUGCCUUCGGCUCAGGUCAUGAUCCCAGCGUCCUGGGAUCGAGCCCCGCAUCGGGCUCCCUGCUCGGCGGGAAGCCUGCUUCUCCCUCUCCCACUCCCCCUGCUUGUGUUCCCUCUCUCUCUGUCUCUCUCUAUGUCAAAUAAAUAAAAUUAAAAAAAUAAAAAUAAAAAAUAAAACACAUGAUACAGCCACAGAGCAAACACUCAGCAUAUGCUGGUAGUUAUAGCUACUCGAGAGCACGCUGUUAUUGAAUGAAUGAAUGAAUGAAUGAAUGAAUGAAUGACUUAAAUGUACUCCUACC